CCCUUAGAUGUCCUGGGCCGCACGCGUGCUACACUGACACUUACACCGAGUUUUUCCGGCCCCGAGAGGUGGCUGGUAAUCAGUAAUAGGUGCCGUGAUGGGGAUAGAUCUUUGGAAUUAUUGAUCUUGAACGAGGAAUGCCUAGUAAUCGUAGGUCAUCAGCCUGCGAUGAUUACGUCCCUGCCCUUUGUACACACCGCCCGUCGCUCCUACCGAUUUCGAGUGGUCCGGUGAACCUUUCGGACAGAGAGAGUCUCGUACAAUCUCUGAAAGUCAAGUAAACCACAUCACUUAGAGGAAGGAGAAGUCGUAACA
rnacentral:rRNA from 1 species